rnacentral:rRNA from 1 species
CGCGUAGGCGGUUUGUACAGUUGGGCGUGAAAUUCCUGGGCUUAACCUGGGGGCUGCGUUCAAUACGUGCGGACUUGAGUUUGGAAGAGGGUCGUGGAAUUCCCAGUGUAGAGGUGAAAUUCGUAGAUAUUGGGAAGAACACCGGUGGCGAAGGCGGCGACCUGGUCCUGGACUGACGCUGAGGCGCGAAAGCGUGGGGAGCAAACAGGAUUAGAUACCCUGGUAGUCCACGCUGUAAACGAUGUGCGCUGGAUGUUGGGCGACCUAGUCGCUCAGUGUCGUAGCUAACGCGAUAAGCGCACCGCCUGGGAGUACGGCCGCAAGGUUGA